GACGAACGCUGGCGGCGUGCCUAAUACAUGCAAGUCGAGCGGAUCUUCAUUAGCUUGCUUUUGAAGAUCAGCGGCGGACGGGUGAGUAACACGUGGGCAACCUGCCUGUAAGACUGGGAUAACUUCGGGAAACCGGAGCUAAUACCGGAUAAUCCUUUUCCUCUCAUGAGGAAAAGCUGAAAGACGGUUUCGGCUGUCACUUCCAGAUGGGCCCGCGGCGCAUUAGCUAGUUGGUGAGGUAACGGCUCACCAAGGCGACGAUGCGUAGCCGACCUGAGAGGGGGAUCGGCCACACUGGGACUGAGAAACGGCCCAGACUCCUACGGGAGGCAGCAGUAGGGAAUCUUCCGCAAUGGACGAAAGUCUGACGGAGCAACGCCGCGUGAGCGAUGAAGGCCUUCGGGUCGUAAAGCUCUGUUGUCAGGGAAGAACAAGUAUCGGAGUAACUGCCGGUACCUUGACGGUACCUGACCAGAAAGCCACGGCUAACUACGUGCCAGCCGCCGCGGUAA
rnacentral:rRNA from 1 species